rnacentral:tRNA from 1 species
AUAGGAGCAGUCCGAUUGGCCGGAUACUUCAUUUGGGAUGAAGUGGUUGCGGGUUCGAGUCCCGUCUCCUAUACUA